rnacentral:rRNA from 1 species
CCCUUAGAUGUUCUGGGCCGCACGCGCGCUACACUGAUGCACUCAACGAGUCUCCACCUUGACCGAGAGGUCCGGGAAACCUUCGAACUUGCAUCGUGAUGGGGAUAGAUUAUUGCAACUAUUAAUCUUCAACGAGGAAUACCUAGUAGGCGCAUGUCAUCAGCGUGCGUCGAUUACGUCCCUGCCCUUUGUACACACCGCCCGUCGCUCCUACCGAUUGAAUGGUCCGGUGAAAUCUCGGGACGGCGGCUUGGUCGCUUGCGUCCGACUGCUGAAACUUGAUUAAACCAUAUCAUUUAGAGGAAGGUGAAGUCGUAACA